rnacentral:misc_RNA from 1 species
ACACCGGCGACGCGGCCUCUUUUCCAAAACGUGGGAGAGGGGGAAGGUCAUGCCGGAGCCUAGCGAAGUUAUUCCAACAAACGGCGUCACGAACGGGGUGGCGCGGUUCCAGGGCAUGGAAUCGGACGGCCUGGAGCCCGAAGAGACGUUCCUGUUCACAUCGGAGUCGGUCGGAGAGGGACAUGCUGACAAGAUCUGCGACCAAGUGAGCGAUGCCAUUCUGGACGCCUAUCUGCGGCUGGACCCGGACGCCAAGGUGGCCUGCGAAACUACCACCAAGACGGGCAUGAUCCUGGUGUGCGGUGAAAUCACAUCAAAAGCCACAGUCGACUACCAGAAGAUUGUCCGGGAUACCAUCAAAGGCAUCGGAUAUGACGACUGCAAAAAAGGAUUUGACCACAAGACGCUGAACCUGAUGAUCGCGCUGGAGCAGCAGUCGCCAGAUAUUGCUGCCGGCGUGCACGAAAACCGCGCUGAGGAAGACAUCGGCGCGGGCGAUCAGGGCCUGAUGUUCGGCUACGCCACAGACGAAACUGAGGAGUGUAUGCCCCUCACCGUGGUCCUGGCACACGCGCUCAACAGGCGCAUCUCUGACCUCAGGAAGCAGGGCUCCCUGUGGUGGGCGAGACCAGACAGCAAAACUCAGGUGACCAUCGAGUACGCCUCCGACCACGGCGCCAUGGUGCCCAAGACCGUACACAGCGUCGUGGUAUCGGUACAGCACUCACCCGACAUCUCGCUGGAGAAACUGCGGCAGGAGGUGAUGGAAAAGGUCAUCAAAGAAGUCAUCCCUGCCAAGUACCUCACACCGGAGACGGUCUACCACGUGAACCCGUGCGGCGAAUUCAUCAUCGGCGGCCCCCAGUCGGAUGCCGGCCUGACGGGAAGGAAGAUCAUCGUGGACACAUACGGAGGGUGGGGAGCGCACGGCGGCGGCGCCUUCAGCGGUAAGGACUACACCAAGGUGGACCGCUCGGCGGCCUACGCGGCCCGCUGGGUGGCCAAGUCGCUGGUCCGGGCCGGCCUCUGCCGCCGCUGUCUGGUCCAGGUAUCCUACGCCAUCGGUGUGGCGGAGCCCAUCUCCAUCACCGUGUUCCACUAUGGCACCAGCAAGUACAGCCAGAGGCAGCUGCUGGAUAUAGUGAAGAAGAACUUCGACCUGAGGCCCGGCAGAAUCGUCAGGGAGCUGAACCUGCGUCAGCCCAUCUACCAGCAGACGGCGAGCUACGGCCACUUCGGUCGCGACUGCUUCCCCUGGGAACAGCCCAAGAAACUCGUACUCUAGACGCGCCACCGAGUCUGUCAUCACUCGGUGAACUGAGUUUGACUCUGAGUCGGCCCGGAGUCGGCGCUGGGGUCGACGUCGGGUUGAUUCAUGAGUCAGCGUAGAGUCUACUCUGGGUUGACUCGGAGUCAUCCCGAGUGUACCAUCGAGCAGCUAUUGACACCACAACACCGUCAGCGUUCACUCUCUGACUUUACCACUCGACUCGUGUGCACACACCAUGUGAACAUCGCCCUGGGGUAGACCGACCGUCCGCCGCGGCCGCCCCCUCUCCCACCCUUCCCAGACUGGGGGCGGAGCAGAGUCCCCACGGGCCGCCCUUGGCCCGCCACGGCGGCCCGGCCGCCUCCCUGACUGCCCCGCCCCGGUCUUCCCCAGCUGUGAUUUUACUCUGUUAUUUAUAUCAUUGUUGUCUUUUUAGUUGUCUUUCGGGUCGCUCUCAGACCCCCUCACUCUCUCGAGUCUCUCUCUCUCUCUGGGACUUUUAUCAGGGAUGCGGUUAGUGCGGGGAGAGGAGGAGGAGGAAGGGAGGAGCAGGUGAGAGUCGGAGGAGCAGGAGCGAGCGAGUGCGCUCAGAACGAGGGGCCGCGAGGUCCACAAGAGGGGCCGCGAGGUCUAAAAGAGGGACUGUCCAGUCCAAAAGAGGGGCCGGUGCGUCAAAGGACCGCCGUGUCUAAAGUUGGGGCCGCUGGGUCCAAAGGUGGGGCUGUCGUGCCCAAAGGUGGGGCUGUCGUGCCCAAAGUGGGGCUGUCGUGCCCAAAGGUGGGGCUGUGUGCCCAAAGUGGAGGCCGGCGCGUGAGAGGCACCGUCGAGCCAAAGUGGGACCGCCUGGGGUCCAAUGUGGGGCCGGCGCGUUGGAAGGACCGCCGAGCCAAUGUGGGGCCGGCGAGUUGGUGAUACCGCCGAGCCAAUGUGGGGCUGUCGAGCCCAGAGUCGGGACAUCGGAGUCCAUUCGGAGGCAGAGUUGCCUGUGGGACGCCGGGGGUCCACUGGGGGCCGCCCGGGUCCCUGACCGGGGGCCCACUGGGGCCGCCCGGUGUGUGAGUGUUUGUGGCGCCGGCGGCUGGCCCGUGUCGAGGACCGCCGCCGGUGCCGCCAGCAGCAGCAGCAGCACGCAGCAGCAGCAGCAGAGGGCGCGGGGACGGGCGGGUUGCCCUCCCGCGCCCUGCCCGGCUGCCGCGGGACGCCCCCGCGGCGGGGCGGCCGGCCGGCCGGCGGGAGCGCGCGGCGGAGGGCCUCCGCGCGCCCGCUGGCGGCCGGUCUAACGGCGACGGGACGCUUCAGGGCGGUCCGUCGCUUCUCGUCCGGCCGGCCAUUGUGACGGGGCGUCACGGAGUGACACAACACCUCACGGUGAGGACCCGUCACGGACCCGGACUGGAAACGUCACGGAGAGACUCGGACUGGGAGCGUCACGGAUGGUGGCGCGUCACGAGUGUGGCGUGUCGCGGGGUGACGGUGUGUCUCGCCGUGACGGUGUGUCACGAUGUGUUGUCUCUGGCGCGGUGACUGGCCGGCCGGGUACGGCAGUCGGACGGCGCUCGGUGUGACUCGGCGGUGAACACGCGGACGCUGAGACCCGCUACUGUCGAGCGCGCCGCCGCGGCCGGGGCUCUCCCGGGCCCCCGGGGUCCGCUGUGGGCCCCGGGGAGCUCGGGGGAUCCCCGGCCGCUGCGCCGCCCGGCUGACCGGUAGGGCGACCAAAACAGGAUCUCGGCACGAAAAUUUACAAAAAAAAAAAAUGUUGAGUUAGGUUAGUCUUUCUCUUGAAUCUUUCUCUUCCCUGUCCUAUCCUUCGCUGGCUGCUUUCUUGUUCCCACUCAUCUCAAUUUCUCUCUUCUCUCUGUUAUUUGAGUUAUUCCCCAGCCAGCGUUUCCCGGGGCGGCUUUCCCGUACCACCCGGGACCCCGCGGCGGGCGGUCGGUCUCUCCAAUGUACCGCGUCACCCCGUUUGUACGUCACUCACCCGGACAGCGAAGACCGCUCCGCAGCCAUCACAGGGUCCCCACCCUGCACCCCACGCCGCGCCCUGUCCCGGCGGCCGCCACUCGCCGCCCCGGUGGCGUGUCGCCCGCGGCGGCCGGCGCGCCGGCAAUUAUGGCGCCCCCGCGCUCUUUCUGGCGCCAUUUGUUGCCGGCGCUGCGGGCGGCUGGAUGAUUCUCGGGGUUUCCCGGGCUGAGCACGGGGUACCAGAGGGAAUCUUGGGGUAUUCUUGGGUUGAUCUCGGGUAAUCCCAGGCUGCUUUUGGAUGAGUUGGGUUAAUUCAAGGCUGCUCUAGGGCUGCCUCGGAUUAACUCAAGUUGUUCUUGGGCAAUCUCGGCUUAUCUGAGAUCCAUCUCGGGGUAUUCUAGGGUUUUUCUCGGGUCGCCCCAAGGUCAUCUCGGGUUAUCCCCGGGUCGGCCCCAGCCGCCCCCCAGGCCGCCGCCGGUGGCUCGGUACCGGUACGACAGACCGCUCGGCGUGAGUUGUGUUGUGUUUAAGAAAACUAUUGGAAAAGAGCACUUUCCCUAAACACUCCGAUGGCUUCGGACCGGUCGGCAGAUCCGGACAGAGGAGACUUGGAGAGGUCAGCCGCUGGAGACCGCCGCAAAAUCACCGAGAGAUGGGGAGAAAACCGGUAGAAAAUCUCAGUCUGGGGCCGUAAAUAUCUAGCUUGGUGACUUUUCUGGAGAAAUUGACGGAAAAUCGCCGAGCUCCCCGACAAACCGGUGUAAAAUCCCAAAACUGGUGGCUUUUCGAUCAACUCGCCACGAGACUUUCCCCUCAGCUCGGAUGGCGGUUCUCCCUCGGUGUUAUACCAUCGACCCCUCCCGUCUUCACCGUCCGAAAUCUACCGUAUUCGCUGUCACAUUUAUACACUGGUUUGGUUUUAUUUGUCACUGGGAAUCACAUGGCCUAUCGGGAGCUGUGGUUCCGCCGUCGGUCACCGCCGAAAUGGUGGCGCUAGUGUGCCAGUUUUGUUUCAUGUCUCGGACCAAGCGAAAAUACACAUUGUUUCUCCCCUGGU